AUGUUGUUAGUUUAUAUUUAUCCUUUAAAUGUUAAUAACCUUUUAGUUUUUGCUUUCUAAGUAUUAACUUUAAUAUCUUACUUAGUAAUUUCAUUUUGAGGAACCACAGUAUUUGAUCAUUCAAAUUUGACCAAACUGAAUUCAAGUUUACUGGUUAUACAUUUUUAAAAAUGGAUUAAUUGGAUAGAAGACUCCCAUUAAAGGAUGAUGUAUUAAUUGAAAUCUUCAUUUUUUUCAAAAGACAAACAUACUGAACCAUCCAUAUUGGAAGAGUAUAAUAGGCGAAAUGCUUAAUUUGGCAUUUCAAAAAAAGGUGAUAAGUAAAUGUUUAUUUUUAAAAUAAUUAUUCAAGAGUUUGUGUGUAUUGUGUGUAUAUGUGUAUAAAUGUGGUGAAACUUGAGAAGAGAAUUAAAUUAAAAGAUACAGAGGCAUCACUCCCAAAAGACAAAAAUGAAACAAGAAAACUUAAAACUAAAAAGAAAAAAGUAAAUACUUGGCAUAAAGUAAUGUGACCUGCUUAUUGACUAGAGAAUUUUGAAAAUUCAUUUUUCUAAAAAAUUAUAUUGUGUGUUACUACUAAAACACCCCAUUUAAAAGUUUAGCAAAUAUACUUUUUCUAACUUAACAUUUCCAGAAUGAUUCCACAGAUUUUAUUUUAUUGGUCUUAUUUAUGUUCUUUUCAGUGGAAAUUGAUAAUGUCAGCUGCAUUUACGUUAACAUUAGCAAUAUCAGAAUUAAAACUUACAUUUGAAAGCUGUGGAUCACCAUGUUAAUAGGUUAUUUUCGACCCUUUCCACCUGCAUUAAAACAUGUCACAUGAUCAGUCUCCUACUUUGGGAAAUAUUUGGCUAUAUUUCACAGAAUGAAUAAAACUGGUUAAUUCUAAUUUAGCUUUUCCAUGUAUGUUGAACUUUCCAUUGAAGUAGUUCAGCCAAAAAGUAGACCAAGAUAAUGAAAGCUAAGUGGAUGUUUCCAUUCAUUUCCAUGAGCUAAUUUUUGUGUGUUUUAAACAUUUUUAAAAAUAAAUAUUCAUUUAAAAAUUAGGCCUCAAUUAUCUCAGUGGCUUUCAAUCUUGGUCUUGUAACAUCACAGAGUACCUUCAGUUACUUCAAAGGCCAUUGUGAAAUUUUCAAAAAAUUGCCUUUUAUCUUUUUAAAAAAUGAUUUUGCUAUUCUGUAGCAUGUUGUGUAUAUGUAUGUCUACAUCUGUAGUGAGAUUUGAGGAGUGCUAAAACAGAGAGAGGUAUUACUACCAUGAUUCUUACCAACCAUCAUAGAUGCCAUCAUAAAACUGAUUGCGUUUUCUUUUAAAAUAGUUUUUAUAACAACCUAUUUAUGUGCAAUAAAACAGUUUAGCACAUGAUGGAACAAGUAACAUAAAAAGCCUGAUUCUUAUUAUUCCAUAAUCCAUGGUGAGGGUAGUAGAACAAAUACUUCUUAAGCACUUACUAUGUGCCAAGAACUGUGCUAAGCCUUUAACAAAUAUCUCAUGAGAUAGCCUUCACAACAAGCCUGGGAUAUAGGUGCUAUAAUAUUAUCCUCAUCUUACAGUUGAGGAAACCGAGGCAAACAGCAUAAAUUACUUUUCCAGGGUCACACAGCUAAAAAGUGUCUGAAUUCAAAUUUGGACACAGAUCUUCCUUAUUCCAGGACCAUUGCUCUAUCCUCUAUACCGAACUACUUCAAUGGAUCUUGGCUAAUUCAAAUUCUUGCUUAUUUUAAUCUUUUAAUUACUUUAAAUACUUAACCAUGCAAAGUAUUGUAUUAAAUGCUAUAGGGGAGUAUAAAAACCUAUAAAACACAGUCUCUGUCUUCUGUAUUUUGUAAUUUAGUUGAAAAGAUGCAAAAAACCUGUACAAUAUAUGAAAAAAUAUCAUUUGAGCACUAUAGAGAUCUUUGAGGAGAGAAAAAUAAUUUCUGAUUAUGAUAAUCAGGAAAAGCUUCAUGGAACAGAGUAGUAUAUUUGGACCUGACUCAGAAAGAGAGAUGGGAUGUUUAUUUCAACAAAGAGUAGACAAGAGAGGGUCUGUAUAUGUCUAGGAUGUUUGUGUGUAGUAGCUGUAGUAGUUGUAAUAGUAGUAGUAGCAGCAGCAUGAACAAUGGCAUAGAAUCAUAAAAAGUAAUAAAUACAAAUAUGAUUAGCUCGUUCUGUCAAUACAAUUACCAUGUGAGGAUAAUUUUUUAAAACUAAAAUAUUGGUUUAUAAAGUGUCUAAAGAAUGGCAAGUAGGCCAGUUUUGAUUAAAGAGUUCAUUUAGGAAAUGGGAGUAAAAAUAGGUGAGUUUGGAGUCAUUAAGUGUUUUUAAUAAGAGGGGGGAUGUGACCAGUAAAUUUUUUGGAAAAUUAAUCUGGCAGCAGUAUUUAAAAUGGAUUAACUAGAAGAGAGACUGGAUAUGGGGAAACCAGUUAAAAAGCUAUUGGAAUAAUCCAGGCCUAAGAUAUAAAAGUUUGAAAUCCUGAGAUGGUACUGGUCAUGAAAAAGAAAAGAAUACAAGAAACAUUGUUUUAUGAAGAAUCAUCAGAAAUUAAGAACUAAUGUUUAAAAAAAAAGAUGUUAGACUAUCAUAGAAAGGAAGUACACCUCCUCAUUCCCCUCAAAAAUAGCAAUAAUAGUAUUCAGAUUAAGAAGAGUCCAAAAGCUAUCAAAAAUAUAAUAGAAGAAACAUUUAGUAGAAGAAAAAAAUUAGGUAAAAAUACUAGAAGAGAGACAUGCUGAAAAUUAUCAUUAGAAACAAAGCAAGAGAUUCCUUAUGGUGCAAUAAAUUGACUAGAAUAUACAAUAAGGAAAUUAAAAGAUGAGAGGGAAAAGAGAAGGACAACGUGCAGCUAAGAAAUCUUCAAUGAUAAACCUUAGGAACUUAGAAAUCAACACUAAAAAUAGAGAAUUGACAGCAGAAGCAGUGAAAAAAAUAUGUUGGAAAGUAGAUUGGUAAAAGAUACGUUGGAAAGAGAAGUAUGCCCAAAAAUAACUGGCGAAAGACUGGAAAAUAUUACAAAUGUAAGUGACUAAAUAUGGAGAAAGAUUAAGAAAUGGGAAGUUUAGGAUUGUUAAAGUUCUGUAAAAUUUUGAAGAAAAAUAAUUUGACCAAUAUAUUUUAGAAAAUUGUAAAAGAAAACUUCCUGGAAAUAUUAAAAAACAAAACAAUAGAAUUAUAAUACUAAGAAAGAACUCCAGAUUAAUUUCAGGCAGGCAUGUCAUUGAUAAAUUUCAAAAUUACACUGGCAAAGAAAAAAGAAAUUUUAAAAAUUACCAGUAUAUGGGCUUAUAUCUCAAAGAGAUACUAAAGAAGGGAAAGGGACCUGUAUGUGCCAAAAUGUUUGUGGCAGCCCUGUUUGUAGUGGCUAGAAGCUGGAAAAUGAAUGGAUGCCUAUCAAUUGGAGAAUGGUUGAGUAAAUUGUGGUAUAUGAACGUUAUGGAAUAUUAUUGUUCUGUAAAAAAUGACCAGCAGGAUGAAUACAGAGAGGACUGGCAAGACUUACAUGAACUGAUGCUAAGUGAAAUGAGCAGAACCAGGAGAUCAUUAUAUACCUCAACAACGAUACUGUUUGAGGAUGUAUUCUGAUGGAAGUGGAUCUCUUCGAUAAAGAGAGCUAAUUCAGCUUCAAUUGAUCAAGGAUGGACAGAAGCAACUAUACCCAAAGAAAGAACACUGGAAAUGAAUAUAAACUGCUUGCAUUUUUGUUUUUCUUUCCGGGUUAUUUAUACCUUCUGAAUCCAAUUCUCCCUGUGCAACAAGAGAACUGUUCGGUUCUGCAAACAUAUAUUGUAUCUAGGAUAUAUUGUAACCUAUUUAACAUGUAAAGGACUGCUUGCCAACUGGGGGAGGGGGUGGAGGGAGGGAGGGGAAAAAUCGGAGCAGAAGUGAGUGCAAGGGAUAAUGCUGUAAAAAAUUACCUUGGCAUGGGUUAAAAAAAAAAAAAUAAAUCAAUUAAUUAAUUUUUUUUUUUAAAAAAGAAAAUAUUAUCAAAACUAAAAAAAAAAAAAAAAAUUACCAGUAUAGUGCCACCAGAAUUGAGAUCGCAAAAUAAAUGGUUGAAUUUUUAAGAAUAAGAGUAACUGCAAUGCACCUGGAAUAUAACAUGCACAGACUAGGAAUUGUUAGCUAAAAAUCAAAAAGUUACCAAAUUACCUAUUAAAUGAAUGGAAGAAAUUGCUAGAGACAAAAUAGAUCUAUUAGAAUAUAAUAACAGUUAUUUUUGUACAACAAAAGCAGUGUAUCUAAACUAAAAAUAAAAACAAGAUUUUGGAGAGAGAAAUCUUUACAAUAAAUCCAUCUAAUAAUAAUCUGACAUCCACUAUACACUUAGUUAUCUCAAUGGAUUUUGGCUAAUUCAAAUUCUUAUUUUAAUCAAAAGAAGAGGAACAGAGAAGUGUUUAUUUUAAGUGUGUAUGUAUGUGCAUGCAUACAUAUAUUCUUUCAAUUUAGCAAAUAGUUUGGAGUUUAUAAUUUCAUAAUUAUUUUUUAAAUUUGCAUAUUUUGUUGACAAUGUUUGGAAAUUUAAAAUUUUUGUUUUAGACUGGACUUGUGAUUUCAUUGGUAUUAAGGCAGCUAACUGACACAGUUCAUGGAACUUGAAUACCCUGAAUUCAAAUCCAGCCUCAGAUGCUUAUUAGCUGUGUGAUUAGUGUCCUCAGCUGCAAAAAUGGGGAUAAUAAUAGCACCUACCUUCCAAGUGUUGUUGUGAGAAUCAAAUGAUAUAAUAAUAAAGCAUCUAGCAUAGUAUCUGGCACAUGGUAAGCACUAUAUAAAUGUAAGCUAUUAUGAUGAUUGAAAAUCUUGGAUGAGCAAACUCUUCCAAUGCAGAUAGCCAUCUGUUUUUAUAACUUCUAGUCUUAACAAGUUGCCUGAGAGUUUAAUCAAUUUGUAUGUGUCACUUUGGUUCUUUAGCUACACUGUUGCCCCUCAAAAUUUAUGCAUGUGAAUUGUAAUCAUAAAAAUGGACACAGCUCAAGCAAAAAGUCUCUGGUCUAGAAUCAAAGGCCAAAAUUUCAUUUGUUAGCACCAGCCUUCUUGGGACACUGUCCUACUUGGACCCAGACGGUAGGAUAAGAACACCGGAAAGAAGUUGCAAAGGGACAAAUUUAGCCUUAAUCAGAGGAUCACAGAUUGAGAAAACUGGAAGGGACCUUAAAGGCCAAGUCCAACCCUAUUAUUUAAGGAAACUAAGGAAACUGAGGUCCAAAGAGUUUAAGCACAUUUCCCAGGGAUACAAAUAUCUGAUACAGAAUUUGAGCCCAGGGCUUUCUAAUGCCCAGUCCCAUGACCUCUCUGCUACACUGCCUCUCAAUGUAAGGAAGAAGUUCUUAUUUGGAGACUGGAUUCCUCUUCACUGUAAAUCCUAAUGAUCACUUGUAAAGUAUGUUGUUGACAGAAGUAUAUCAGUCAUGGGCCAGGCAUAUUGGCACACUGGGGACCUAGCGCUACCUUAAAAGAAGGCAGAAGGAAUAUUUGAGAGAAAUCAGAAAAUCUUGAAAUGGUAAAGCAUCCCAGAACCAUAGGGUAGCUAGGUGACAGGGUAGAUAGAGCAUUGGACUUGGAAUGAGGAAGAUUGAUCUUCAUGAGUUUGAAUCUGAUCUCCAAAACUUAUUACCUGUGUGACCCUGGACAAGUCCCUUAACCCUGUUUGCCUCAGUUUCCACAUUUGUAAAAUAAGCUGGAGAAGGAAAUGUUGAACCAUUACAGUAUCUCUGCCAAGAAAACCCCAAAACAUGUUGGUCAUGACAGAAAAUGACUGAACAACAAUAAAAAUUGUGGGCUGAGGAAUUCUGGCCUAUUUGACCCCUGCUAAACUACAGUUUAGGAUUAUAGAGGGGUUCUCUUCUUCAGUUAUGAUUGGAACUAAAUAGCCUCUGAGAUUCCUUCCAAGGCUCAAAUCCAAUACUCAUUUUUCUAUGACUUUAUUUACUUUCCCAGAUCCUGAACUCUGCUUUCCUUUUCGGAUCCAGUCUACUUUUUCAUUAUUUCUUCCCUUGAUAUCCUGGCUUUCUUUCCUACUCACACCUAUGGCAUGCUUUUAAUGCAUACAUGAAAAUCAUUCCUCUGCUGUUAACUCUUUGUAUGCAGUCAUCUAUGAAAUUUGAAGUUUGGCUUAUCCUCCAUAUUCUAAUGUCAGAUAUUCUGCUUUGUCCUUUGCUAUUCACCAAAUAAAUAUUUUGGUAUUCAUUCAUUCAUUCACACUGGUGGAACCUUCCCCAACAACUUAUACCAUUAGGUAGCUAGGUGAUACAGGGGAUCUAACUCUUAGGCUGUGGGUGGGUCACUUAAACCCAUUAAGGUUUGCCUUAGUUUCCUCAACUGUAAAAAAUGGGGAUAAUACAAUAGUUACCUCCUAGAAUUGCCAAGAGGAUCAAGUGAGCUAAUAUUUGUAAAGUGCUUAGUAUAGUGUGGUUCAUGGUAGGUGCUAUAUAAAUAUUAGCUGUUAUUAUUAAUCCUUUUUUCUCUUUUAGAUGGCUUUCUAAGAGUUUAGUUAGAGGCAUAUAAGAUGAUAGCCAGUGUGGACUGAUGAAUAAAGUUAGUGUUUUUUAAAUUUGUAGGCAGUAGGGAAGCAGCCAGUAUAUAGGGAAGGAUUUAAAAUUAGUAAGAGAAUAGGAGUGAUAGAACAAGCAAUUUGGUAGAAGAAAAGAUGGGAUGUCAUGUAGAAGGAUUUACUUUGGCAAUGAGAAGGGCCACUCCUCAUGAGAACGAAGUAAAGGAGGUGAUAAUAGAAGAAGGCAUCUAUGUGAUGUAAGAUGAAGGAAAAGCAAACUCUUGGUGAAUGGCCUCCAUUUUUUCAGCAAAAUGAAAGACAAGAUUCUCAAGUGAGAAGGUAAGAAGGUACAGAGGAAAGAUGAAAAGUUUGAGGAGAAAUGAAAAGAGCAGGAAAAAAUAUAUGAUCAGUAGGAUAGAAAUUUUCAUUUAUUUAUAUAUAUACAUACAUAGAUAGAGAUUUCAUUAAUGCCUUGCUGCAGAAAGAUCCCACUUAAAAUUUUGAGGGUCUGGACUUUCAGGAAAUGAGAAAAGAUGAUGUUGAUUUAAUUAAGCUGAAAUUCCCUAUAAGUAAGCAAAUUAACAUCUCAGAAAUUUAUCAGAAAUUUUUAAGUGCCUUGACUUACAGAUUUAUGUACAAUACCCAAUUCAGCUAAAUUCUGAACAAGUAUCUCUCACUGUCACAGGACACUGCAGCUCAUAUAAAUUGAAGAGGCAUUCAAAAUUCUUUGCUAAAAAACCAAAAUUAAUCUUACAACACUGGACUAAUAUGUUUGUUUUGUCAGCAGUUAAACUUAGUACAGUCAUCAACAUCAUCCUACUUCCUCACUGCCCUCAUCACGUCAGCACUUGACAUAAUGAUCACGUGGGGAACAUGAUGACCUACUUGCUCUAAGGUCGGGUCACAUCAAAAUCCUAUUUAGACUAUUGGGCUAAUGUCUAGCAGGAAAAAAUAAAGAAUAUAUUUACUACUUAAUAGUCUAUUUACCUUUCUGUUUCAGCUCUAAUCAUUAGCUCAGCAUAAGCUCUCUAGCCUUCACCAGGAUUAUUAUUGCAAGGCAGUAAAUCAUAACCUUCGAAUUCUACUAAUUAACAUUCUACCCACUUUGUAUUUCCUGUAGGUUCCUUCAAUAUUUUAAAUGAGUGAUACUUCUAAAGGAAGCAUUAGAUCUCUACUAAAAGGAAUAAAUCUUUAUCCAUCAAUGAAUUAUACACAUAACUCCAAUUCAUGAAUGAAAUGAAUGUGUCAGUUUAUUAGCCAUAUUUGGUUUUUUAACAAUAAUGUAUAGGCUUCUGUAUUCUGAAAAAUGCCUGCCAUAUAAAUGAUAACCUUAAAAUUUCAUUGUUUUAAACUGAUAUUGAAACAUGGAAUAUGAUUUUUAAUUAUUUCUUCAAUGAAUAAAUAUUUAUUUUCUCUUUAGUCAAUAAUCAGUCAGUUUAUAUACAUACCUACUAUAUGCCAAGCAUGUGCUAACUACUGAAGAUCUAAAAAGAACAAAAGACAUUCUUUGCCCUCAGGUAACUCAUAAUCCAGUGGGGGAGACAAGAAGCAAACAAAUCUGUACCAAUAAGCUAUGUGCAGGAAAAGUAGGAAAAAGCAGGAAAAGAGACAAGGUACUAGAAUUAAAAGAGAUUGAAAAAAGCUUCCUGUAGAAGAUGGGAUUUUAAUUGAGACUUAAAGAAGCCAGGGGAGUCAGAAGAUGAAGAUGAAUAGGGAGAGCAAUCUAGGAAUGGGGAACAGCCAAAGAAAAUACCUGAAGCUAAGUUGGAGUAUCUUGUUUGUAGAACAGAAAAAUGGCGAGUAUCAUUGGAUCAAAGAGAACAGAGUGGUAUGUAGGGUGUAAAGGGACUAGAAAAGUAGAAGGGGAGUAGGUUAUGAUGGGCUUUGAAUAUCCAAUCGAGGAUUUCAUAUUUGAUCCUAGAGGCAAAAGGGAACCGUUGGAAUAUGGUGGGAGGUGGGGAGAAAGGGAGAUGAUAUGGUCAAAUCUGAAUCUUAGGAAAAUCACUUGGCUGAAAUGAGGAUAGAUAGGGCAGGAUCUGCCCUAAAAUGAAGGAAAGACUUGAUUGCAGUAAUCCUGAAGGCCUGCACUAGAAUGAUGGCAAUCUCAGAGGAGAGAUAUUACACAAGUGAUUUUGACAGUUCUUAGAAACAGAUUUGUGGGGACAGAGAGAGUGAGGGGUUGAAGAUGAUGCCUAAGUUUUGAGUGACAGUAAUAGGGAAGUUAAGGGAUGGAGAGGAUGGUUUUGGGGGAAAGAUAAUUUCAAUUUUGGACAUGUUGAGUUUAAUGUCUAUUGGAUUUCCAGUUUAAGGUGUUUGAAAGGUACUUGGGAGAUCUGACACUGGAGGUCAGAAGAGAAGUUAGCGCAGGAAACGUAGAGAUAAGAUACAAAUAGAACAUAAAAAUGGUAAUUAAACUCAUGGAAGCUGAUGAAAUCAAGUGACAUAGUAUAGAGGGAAAAGAGAAGAGGGACAUCUCUGGCAUUUGGAAGAGGAUCCAGCAAAACAGACAGAGGAGUGGUCGGAUUGAAGGAAGAAAAUUGGGAGAGAAUGGUACCCCAAAAUCUUAAAGAGAAGAGUAUCAAGGAGAAGAGAGUGAUCAAGGAAGUCAAAGGCUUCAAAGAGGUUAAGAAGAAUGAGGAUUCAAAAGAAGCCAUUGGGUUUUACAAUAAAGAGAUCCUUGGUAACUUUGGAGAGAACAAUGUCAGUGGAAUGAUGAAGUCUGAAGACAGAAUGUAAAGGGUUAAGAAAAGAGUGAGAGGAAAGAAAAUGGAGGUAACUAUUGCAGAAGGCUUUUUGAGGGGUUUAGAUAUAGGUCAGAAGAUAUAUAGGAAAGUAAUGGGGAUCAAGGGUCAAGUGAGGGUUUUCUUCUCAGGAUAAGAGAGAAGAGCACAUUUGUAGGCAAUAGGAAAUGAACCACUAGAGAAGGAGAGAUUGAAAAUAAAUGAAAUAGUGGAGAUGAUAGAACAAUUUGGAGGAGAAAGGGUGAAAUAGGAUCACUUGAAAAAGUGAGUUAUUAGCCUCAGCAGCUAGGUAACUGGACAUGGAAUUGGGAAGACUCAUCUUCCUGAGUUCAAAUAUGUGACCCUGAACAAGUCAUUUAACAGUGUUUGUCUCAUUUAAAAUGAAAUGGGAAAGGAAAUGGCAAAUCACUUCAGUAUCUUUGCCAAGAAAAACUUAAAUGGGGUCGUGAAGAGUCAGGCACAACUGAAAAAAAUGACUUAAAAAAGGAAUGAGACAAGCAUGAAGGAGGGGAGAGUGGCAAAAGAUAUCUUAGUGAUAGGAGAUAAGAGAUGAGAAAAGGGAGUUCACUGUGAAUGUCCUCAAAUAUUUUUCUGUAAAAUAUGAGUCAACUGAAAAAAUAGGGGAAGAGGAAGUCAUGGAAGAUUUGAAGAGUGAUAAAAAGAUUGGAAGAAUGACUGAGGAGAAUAGGAUAGAGGGUUGAUAAGGGAAUUAUGGUAGGAUUGCCUAGCCCAAAUUCUCCAUGUUGGUCAUUGACUGAGGAGAAUGAGUGAAGGUACAGCUAAUACUGGACAGUGUUAGGUGUCAGUAAGAACUAGUAGAUUAAAGAAGUGAGAAAGGAACAGGUUUAAGAUGAAGGGAAAUUUGUUGCCUAUGGAACAGGCAUUCCAAAAGGUACAGUGGAAGGUCUGGAUGAUGUUUGAGGGACAUUGGGACAAUUGAGGGGGAUGGGAAUGAGGAAUUGGGUGAUAGUGAGGAAUUGCUUUGGAUGAUGAUCUACAGAAAUUCAGAAUUAUUAUGAUAUGCAUGACUAGGUGUGAAAAUGUUCAUUGUUGAGUAAAGGGAAUUACUCCCUCAGAGGAUAAAUGCAGCAGAAAAUAGGAAGCCUAAAGUUGAAAGGAGGGCUGCUCUUUUUGUACAAAGAGGGUUAUCUACAUUCCAACUGGGAGGCUGGGCUGAUAGCAGAAGGGGGCAGAUGCCUUGUGCUGGCACAGAUGGAAGGGCAUUCUUUGGGGCAUAUGUUAAGUAGCUAGCCUGGCCCUAAGCAGCCUUUCUUAGGGGACACCUCUCAGAAAAUGGAAGGCUCAGAGCACAUCUCACCUGAGAAAUCAGGGUGAAUGAAAUCAUUUGUGCAUAUAGAAGCAUUAGCCUAGUUAAGGAAUAAGUUGUUUCAUGUGAGACAAGGGUGAAGGAGAAGAAAGUGGCUUAGCUUAGUAGAUGGCCUGGGAGGUAACUCGGGAGUCAAGGGAUUAGAGGUCAUGGUAUAAAUAAAAACUAGGACUUGAUAAGGGAAGUCAGAGAAAUAGGUGGGGAACCAACAGAUAUUGUUUACUGAAUAUGGAAGUGGUAUAUCUGUGGUGUGGAGUGGAGGUGUGAUGGAAGGGUAGGUCAUGGUAAAUAAGCAGGUUGAAGAACUGAGUGAUUAAGGCAUUUGAGGAAAAGUCAAUGUGUAUGUUGAAGUUCCCCAGUAGGAAAGCAACUGUUGGGAAAAAAAAAAAAAGAGACAAAUUGUGAGCCAAACUUAGUGAGGAAAGAAGGGGAGUGAUCUGGAUGUCUGUAGUCAAUAACUACAAGAAUUUUGAUUGAUCAGCAGAUAUAAAAUACAUGAACCUCAAAGGAGGAAAGUGAUAGAGAUAGCGGGAAAACCUGAAAGUGGCAAUUAGGAGCACACAUUUUUCUAACCUUUCCUCCCUCUGCUCCCUAUCUUCAACCAAUGAGCAAUGGUGUAGCCAGUAGUGGAAAUGGUGGCCAAGUAGGCGGAAUCAUCAUAGAAGACAGAUUGGGAAAGGAAAUCAAGACAAAAAGAAGUUUGUUAUCUAUGGAAUGGGUAUUCUACAAGGCACAGUGGAAGAGAUAGAUAACAGUUGCAUUUUUUCAAGAAACUGUUGGCAUGACUCCAGAAACAUGGAGCAGAAUACAAGGAUCUGACCUGAUGACCAGUUGUCUCCUUGGUGCUUGAAACCAUCUCAAUGUUCUUUCACAUUUUGCACUCACUGAGGCACGAUAGGAAAAAAUAGGUAUGUAUGUAUAUGUGUGUGUGUGUAUAUAUAUAUAUAUAAAUCUUCUUUCAAACUAUAUCUUAUUUAUUUGUUUCCCUCUUCUUCCUCCAAAUAGCCAGGUAAAGGGAAAUUAUCUCUAUAGUAUAGUCCCCAUAAAAGACAAAUGUGAUUAAAAUGGUUUGGAACGGUCAGAUCCCUUUAGAUGAGGCUUGAGCUGUAGCUGAAUGUCACAGAAAAGAUGAUGUGACAAGAGGGAGAGAUAGACUCACCUGGCUUUGGAUCUCCCAAGGCUUGGUUAUAGCAGAGAGGUCACACCCUGUCAUCAUCAUUGCCCUUGUGAACAAAGCAAAGGAGGGCUGAGCAA